GACGAACGCUGGCGGCGCGCUUAACACAUGCAAGUCGAGCGAGAACCGGUCCUUCGGGACCGGGGAAAGCGGCGAACGGGUGAGUAACACGUGAGUAAUCCACCCUCGGCACCGGGAUAGCCCGGGGAAACUCGGAUUAAUACCGGAUGGCCCAGCAGCUCUUCGGGGCGGCUGGAAAAGGUAGCUUCGGCCUCCGGCCGAGGACGAGCUCGCGGCGGAUUAGCUUGUUGGUGGGGUAAUGGCCUACCAAGGCGACGAUCCGUAGCUGGUCUGAGAGGACGAUCAGCCACACUGGGACUGAGACACGGCCCAGACUCCUACGGGAGGCAGCAGUGGGGAAUCUUGCGCAAUGGGCGAAAGCCUGACGCAGCGACGCCGCGUGAGGGAAGAAGGCUUUCGGGUUGUAAACCUCUUUCAGGAGGGACGAUGCUACUCGGGUGAAUAGCCCAGAGGGUGACGGUACCUCCAGAAGAAGCCCCGGCUAACUACGUGCCAGCAGCCGCAGUAACAC
rnacentral:rRNA from 1 species